CUUUGCAGCACUGGGAAUGGCUCUGUCUUUGCUGGUGUAGCUGCUCCCAAGCACAACUGUCCUGUCUGGGAGCUUCUGAAUGCUUCUCUCCCUGCUACUCUUUCUCCAUACCCAGGACCUAGCAGGCUUGAUCAGCCACAAGAACAAGAGCCCUAGAAUCUGUCUGCGGAAGAGGUCCCGGAGAGCUGAUCCCCCAGCACUGGAACCCUGCAAAAACCCACAGACACAGGAUUAAAUGUCC
rnacentral:lncRNA from 1 species